rnacentral:ncRNA from 1 species
GAACAACUGUUGGGGUGCCUCCGAAGGGGCUGAGAUGCGCGGUGCGUGGACCCAUUGAACCUGAACCGGUUAGGACCGGCGGAGGGAACAGCUGGCGGACCGAC